AUUAGCUAGUUGGUGAGGUAACGGCUCACCAAGGCGACGAUGGUGCCGACCUGGAGUGAUCGGCCACACUGGGACUAGACACGGCCCAGACUCCUACGGGAGGCAGCAGUAGGGAAUCUUCCGCAAUGGACGAAAGUCUGACGGAGCAACGCCGCGUGAACGAUGAAGGCUUCGGGUCGUAAAGUUCUGUUGUUAGGGAAGAACAAGUACCGAGUAACUGCGGUCCUUGACGGUACCUAACCAGAAAGCCACGGCUAACUACCCAGCAGCCGCGGUAAUACGUAGGUGGCAAGCGUUGUCCGGAAUUAUUGGGCGUAAAGCGCGCGCACGGUUUCUUAAGUCUGAUGUGAAAGCCCAGGCUCAACCGUGGGGUCAUUGGAAUGGGGAACUUGAGUGCAGAAGAGGAGAGUGGAUUCCACGUGUAGCGGUGAAAUGCGUAGAGAUGAGGAACACCAGUGGCAAGGCGACUCUCUGGUCUGUAACUGCGCUGAGGCGCGAAAGCGUGGGGAGGAACAGGAUUAGAUACCCUGGUAGUCCACGCCGUAAACGAUGAGUGCUAAGUGUUAGAGGGUUCCGCCUUAGUGUGCAGCAAACGCAUUAAGCACUCCGCCUGGGGAGACGGUCGCAAGACUGAAACUCAAAGGAAUUGACGGGGGCCCGCACAAGCGGUGGAGCAUGUGGUUUAAUUCGAAGCAACGCGAAGAACUUACCAGGUCUUGACUCCUUCGCUACUUCUAGAGAUAGAAGUUCCCUUCGGGACGAAGUGAAGUGGUGCAUGGUUGUCGUCAGCUCGUGUCUGAGAAUGUGGGUAGUCCCGCCACC
rnacentral:rRNA from 2 species